rnacentral:rRNA from 1 species
CAGCCGCCGCGGUAAUACGAAGGGGGCUAGCGUUGCUCGGAAUGACUGGGCGUAAAGGGCGCGUAGGCGGAUGGCACAGUCAGAUGUGAAAUUCCCGGGCUUAACCUGGGGGCUGCAUUUGAUACGUGUUGUCUAGAGUGAGGAAGAGGGUUGUGGAAUUCCCAGUGUAGAGGUGAAAUGCGUAGAGAUCGGGAGGAACAUCAGUGGCGAAGGCGGCCAUCUGGGACAACACUGACGCUGAGGCACGAAAGCGUGGGGAGCAAACAGGAUUAGAUACCCCCGUAGUCCCUGUCUCUUAUAC